rnacentral:rRNA from 1 species
AACGAACGCUGGCGGCAGGCUUAACACAUGCAAGUCGAACGCAUCCUUCGGGGUGAGUGGCAGACGGGUGAGUAACGCGUGGGAACGUGCCCUUCAGUUCGGGAUAACCCAGGGAAACUUGGGCUAAUACCGGAUACGUGCGAGAGCAGAAAGAUUUAUCGCUGAAGGAUCGGCCCGCGUCUGAUUAGCUAGUUGGUGGGGUAAUGGCCCACCAAGGCGACGAUCAGUAGCUGGUCUGAGAGGAUGAUCAGCCACAUUGGGACUGAGACACGGCCCAAACUCCUACGGGAGGCAGCAGUGGGGAAUAUUGGACAAUGGGCGCAAGCCUGAUGCAGCGACGCCGCGUGAGGGAUGACGGCCUUCGGGUUGUAAACCUCUUUCAGCACCGACGAAGCGCAAGUGACGGUAGGUGCAGAAGAAGGACCGGCCAACUACGUGCCAGCCGCCGCGGUAA